rnacentral:rRNA from 1 species
AGGACGAACGCUGGCGGCGUGCUUAACACAUGCAAGUCGAGCGGUAAGGCCUUUCGGGGUACACGAGCGGCGAACGGGUGAGUAACACGUGGGUGAUCUGCCCUGCACUCUGGGAUAAGCCUGGGAAACUGGGUCUAAUACCGGAUAUGACCUGCUCUCGCAGUGGGGGUGGUGGAAAGAUUUAUCGGUGCAGGAUGGGCCCGCGGCCUAUCGAGCUUUGGUUGGUGGGUAAUGGCCUACCGAAGGCGACGACGGGUAGCCGACUGAGAGGGUGACCGGCCACACGUGGGACUGGAGACACGGCCCAGACUCCGUACGGGGAGCAGCAGGUGGGAAUAUGACAAUGGGACAAAGCCUGAUGCAGCGACGCCGCGUGAGGA